rnacentral:rRNA from 1 species
GACGAACCGAGCGAACGUUGUUCGGAAUCACUGGGCUUAAAGGGCGCGUAGGCGGGCAUUCAAGUCCGUGGUGAAAUCCGGCAGCUCAACUGUCGAAUUGCCGCGGAUACUGGGUGUCUCGAGGGAGGUAGGGGCAUGCGGAACUAACGGUGGAGCGGUGAAAUGCGUUGAUAUCGUUAGGAACUCCGGUGGCGAAGGCGGCAUGCUGGACCUCUUCUGACGCUGAGGCGCGAAAGCCAGGGGAGCAAACGGG